rnacentral:rRNA from 1 species
AUACGGAGGAUGCAAGCGUUAUCCGGAUUUAUUGGGUUUAAAGGGUGCGUAGGCGGUUUGCUAAGCGGGAGGUGAAAUGCCGGCGCUCAACGUCGGAAGUGCCUCCCGAACUGGUGGACUUGAAUGACUCUGCCGUGGGAGGAAUGUGUAGUGUAGCGGUGAAAUGCUUAGAGAUUACACAGAACACCGAUUGCGAAGGCAUCUCACGAAGGGUCGAUUGACGCUGAGGCACGAAAGCGUGGGGAUCAAACAGGAUUAGAUACCCUGGUAGUCCACGCAGUAAACGAUGAUGGCUAACCGCUGGGCUUAUCAGUUCAGUGGCCAAGCGAAAGCGAUAAGCCAUCCACCUGGGGAGUACGACCGCAAGGUUGAAACUCAAAUGAAUUGACGGGG